CUUUGAGCUUGCAGCUACACCUACUAUUUUCAAAGACAGAAUUUUUGUAUCACUUGACAGAGAAGAUAUUCAGAUUCACUCCUUGUAUAUAAUGCAUAGUUGGUGAAUAGAGCUAAACUUUCUGAAGAACAAAAGCUACAUGUACUAUCAGCUGUCUCCUCAACACCACGUUCAGAGACAUACUGUGUCAUCCUAACAAGGACAAUCUACCCCUGAUCAAGAAAGCAUUGCAGUACUGUGACAUAAGUGCUGUUACUGAAACUUGGUGGGAUGAAUCCCAUGACUGGAGUGUGGCUAUCAAUGGCUACAGGUUGUUGAGAAGGGACAGACCAUGAAGGAGGAGUGGAGAAGCUGCCCUCUAUAUCAGAAAAUGGAUGGAGUGUGAAGAGCUGUCUCUGAAGAAUAGCCAACAACAAGCCAAAAGCCCAUGGAUGAGAAUAAAACACUAAGGUAACAAAGAAAACCUUGUGGCAUGUGUAUACUGCAGGCCACCUGAUCAAGGAGAGUCUACCAAUGAAGCCUUCUUUCUCCAGCUACAUGCUCUCACACCCUCAUCCUACAGGAGGACUUCCACCACCCUGACAUCUGCUGGAAAAGGUAGCACAGCAAGAUUUAUACAAUCCAGGAGACUUCUAGAAUGUACCUAAUAUAAAUUCUUAACCCAGGUAAUAGACACCCCUACCCAAGUGGAUGAAGUACUGGACCUGAUGGCCACCAAUGCAAGUGAGAUCAUCAAUGACAUCAAGAUCAUAGGCAGCCUGGGCUGCAGUGGUCAUGCAUUGGUGGAGUUCAAGAUCCUGAGGGACACAGGACAGAAGAGGAGUAUACUCAGAACCCUACAUUUUAGUAAAGCAAAAUUCCAGCUCUUCAAGUAGUUAGUCAGUAGGAUCCCCCUGGGAUAUGGUCCUCAGGGACAAGGGAGCAGAACAGAGCUGGCAAAUAUUUAAGAAUUCUUUACAUGGAGUGUAAGAAUGCUCAGACCUCAUAUGUAGGGGAUAGGCAGGGAAGGGAAAAGACAAGCGUGGCUGACUCAGGACCUGCUGGUUGAACUGAAGAGCAAGAGGCAACUACAGAGGCAGUGCAACCAGGCACAAGUAACCUGGGAAGAGUAUUGGGAUGCUGCCCUGUUCUGUAGGGGUGAGGUCAGGAAGGCCAAGGCACACCUGGAGCUGAACUUGGCAAGGGAAGUGAAGACUAACAAGAAGGGUCUCUACAGGCACAUCAAUCAGAGAAGGAAAGUUAAAGAAAACACACUCUGACAAAUUAACAUGGUGACCCUAUAUCAACAAACAAGGUGAAGGAUGAGGUGUGCAACAAAUUUUUUGCCUUAGUCUUCAAUGACAACUACUCUCCUCAGCCCUCCUGGGUCAAUGGACAACAACAAGGGGGCUGGGGGAGUAUAUCCCCCCCAUUGUAGGGGAAGAUCAAGUUCAUGAUCACCUGAGCAACCUGAACAUAUAUAAGUACAUUGGACCUGAUGAGAAACAUCCCAGAGUCCUGAGGGAGUCGGCUGAUGCAGUUGCCAAGGGACUCUCCAUGAUAUUUGAAAAGUCAUGGCAGUCAGGGGAAGUUCCUAGUGACUGGAAGCAGGGCAACACUGUGGUCAUUUUUAAAAAGGGUAGAAAAGACCCUAGAAACUACUGACCUCUCAGUCUCAUCUCUGUGACUGGGAAGAUCAUGGAACUAUGCUAAAACACAGAGAGAACAGAGAGGUGAUUUGAGACAGCCAGCAUGACUUUAUCAAGGGCAAGUCCUGCCUGUCCAACCUAGUGGCUUUCUUUGAUGGGGUAACCACAGCAGUGGACCUGGGAAAAGCAAUAGAUUUAAUCUAUCUGGACUUCUGUAAAGCCUUUGAAAUAGUCCCUCACAACACCCUUUUCUCUAAGUUAGAGAGAUAUGGAUUUGAUUGGUGGACUGUUCGGUGGAUAAGGAAUUGGGUUUUUGGAUAGCUGCAUUCAGAGACUAGUGGUCAACAGCUUGAUGUCCAGAUGGAGAUCUGUGACAAGUGGUGUCCCUCAGGGGUCCAUACUGGGAGUAGUGUUGUUUAAUAUUUUCAUCAAUGAUAUUGACAGUGAGAUAAAGUGCAUCCUUAGCAAGUUUGCAGAUGACACCAACCUGAAUGGUGCAGUUGCCACACCAGAAAGAUAGGAUGUCAUCCAAAGGGGCCUGAACAAGCUAGAGAAGUGGGCCUCUGUGAACCUCAUGAGGUUUAACAAGGCCAAGUGCAAGGUCCUACACCUGUGUCAGGGCAGUACCCAGUUUCAAUACAGGAUGGGGGAGGAGAACUUAGGGGUGCUGGUCAGUGAGAACCUCAACAUGAGCUGGCAGCAUGGGCUCACAGCGCAGAAGACCAACUGGGCUGCAUCAAAAGGUGGCCAGCAGAUCAUGGGAGGUGAUUCUCCCCCUCUGCUCUGCUCUUGUGAGACUCCACCUGGAGUAUCGUGUCCAUUUCUGGGAUCCCCAGCAUAAGAAGGACACGGAACUUUUGGAACAGGUCCAGAGGAGGGCUACAAAGAUGAUCGGAGGGCUGGAGCACCUCUGGUAUGAGGAUAGGUUGAGAGAGUUGGGCUGUUCAGCCUGGAGAAGAGAAGGCUCCAGGGAAACCUUAUAGCAACCUUCCAGUACCUGAACAGGUGCAAGAAAGCUGAGGAGACUUUUUUACAAGGGAAUGUAGUGAUAGGAAGAGGAGGAAUAUCUUUAAAUUGGAAGGGGGAAGAUUUAGACUAGACAUUAGAAAGAAAUUCUUCAUGAUGAGGGAGGUGAGGCACUGGAACAGAUUGCCUGGGAAAGUUGUGGAUGCCUCCAUCCUGGAAGUCCUCAAUGCCAAGUAGGAUGAGGCCUUGAGCAGCCUUGUCUAGUUGGAAGUGUCCUUGCCCAUGGCAGGGGUUUGGAAUUAGAUGAUGUUUAAGUUCUCUUCUAACACAAACCAUUAUAUGAUUCUAUGAUGCUAUGAUUAAAGCACAUUUUUAAGUAGGAACAGAGAAGAUGAGAUUAUAUGUUUUCAAAAUAUUAUCAUUAUAUUAUAUAUUAUAUUACAAUGAUAUUGUAUCACAAUAUUAUCAUAUUAUUUCAUAAUAUUAUUAUCAUAACUGAAAGAAAGACAUAGUGUAGUACAGUCCCAACUUUUGUACAUUUAAAAAUUCUGCCUAGGGAGAAAUAGCAGUUGAAAUUACAACUAUUUAUUCUUGCUUGAUGUGGCAUGUCAGGUUCACUGAAAAUUCAGACUGCAAAGGAAAAAAGAGUUCUGUUGCUGGUUGUUCUCCAGAAACGUAUUAUAAAUAAUUGAAAUAUUGUUCCUUUUCCUACUCCAUAGCAGAAAUACAAGGCCUCUGGAGAGUCUUUCAUUAGAAUUAAAAAGUCAUAAAAUGUCUGACUAAAAGCUUCAUAGCUUGUUGUUCAGACAAGUAAAGUAACUGAAAAUUACCUUGUGUUUACCAGACAUGAACAAAUGAGAGGAAAAUAUCUCUGUGAAUAAUUGCUAAGAUUAAAAAGAAGUGCACUAUCAGAAUGGCCACAAAAUCUCGAGUCACUCAAAAGCUCAGCUGCGUUUCUCCAUUUGAUUUUGUUGUUUAAUAAGAGAUAUAUAGUCUCCAUUUUACAUUUAUGCAACAAUCUUCCUUGGAUGGUCACUGCAACAGCAAUAUUGCUACAAUUAUUUGAAGCUGCUAGUUAAAAAAAACCAAAAUCACACAUCCUUUUUGUCUAUUGAGCACAAAAAAAGUAUUUUUGUUUGCUUAUUUAACCCUAAUUCUCUUAAAUUUCAGUGUAAUUGAGGCUAGGGUAGAAUUCUUCAUGUACUGAAGUAUUUUAAAUACAUUUGCUGGAGCAAAAUCUCAACAUGGAAGUCAGCUCUUGGAGAGCUUAAGUAUGUAACAAUACUACAAACUCAAAAUUCCAAUACAAAUCUGUGAAAGAUCUCAGAUUAUUUUUAGGAAAGCAUUCAAAAAUAUUCAGUGGCACUUCCCAGAAUUUUAUAAUAGAGCUGUGAAUAGACUGAAGAGAAAGGAAAACAAUGGAUAUGCAGUUUUUUUAAGAAAUAUUUAUGCAUUCCAACUUUUGCCUGAGUGAAUGGAAGAAUAUGUCAGAAGCAAAGCAUGCUGAGUGCUUGUCACUGAGGAGCACUGAGAAUGGCUGUGACAUUUUCAUAAGAAGUCCUUUCUAAAACAUAGUACUUGAAGUGAACUAAAACAGUGUAAAGUGCUUUAUGUUGUUUUGUCAGAAAGCAUGUACUUUACUCAAAAAGAAGUAAAAAUACAGUUUGAAGACCAUUGAAUUAUUUUCCUGUUGCUUUUUUUCCUCCAUGCUUUUCAUCUCACUUUCAUUGUAAUUGUUGAUUUCCUUACAUUUCUUUCUGCUUAUCCAGUUAAUGUGCCUCAGCUAGGUUUCAUACCUUCUGUGUAUUUAUAGAUCCAAUACAUUCUGAGGUUUAUUUAUCACAGUGAAGAAUUCAACUGCCUUUGAGUUUACUUUUUCAUUUUCAGGUCCUUCUUCAAUACUUCAUAGUCCUGCAGUUGACAGAUCUAUCCACAGUUCUUUCUAACUCCUGUGCUGACUGCACUGCUAUGCAGAAAACUCUCAUACAAAGCUUCCUUUAAAAACUGUACCACUGGUGAAAUUUCAGCCUUUCAAAAAUCACAAGCUGACCUAAAC